rnacentral:misc_RNA from 1 species
AUAUAUCAAUCUUCUCUUCUUGAGUGGUUUGGAUGUGGGGGUUUGCUGGCCUCUUAAAGAGGUUUCAGCUCCUCUGAAAUGCAUUAGCAGAACGACCUGUUCAUUGGCGUGAUAACUAUCUACGCUAUUGAAUGUAAGGGGCAGUUCAGCUUUCUAACAGUCUUUGGACAAUUUAUCAUUA